rnacentral:lncRNA from 1 species
UCUUAUCAAAAUAUUCAUCCCCAAAGAUACUGAGAGUAAAUGGGGAAAGAGUUAUUCUAACACCACAAUUUCUUAUGGAUGCCGGAUUCCUGGAAAAAAUUAUUGUUACAAAUCCAGAAGAUACUCAUUGUCUUGGAACUCAUCUCGGAUAUUUCAUCAGAAAAAUGUUAGACUAUGGACAGUGGGCAACUGUACAUAUCAAAUCCGCGCCGGCAGAAUGGAUAGGACUUUUUGAUAUAGAAUCAGCAAUACAUAGAAUGAUUAUUACAGUCAGCAAUAUACCACCAGCAAGGAGAACGACAGAAGAACUAGAGAAAAUCAGCAGCAGUCUAGUGGAAUGUCCAUUAAAAUUAAAAGAACAAUUGAUAAAUGCCAAAAUGAUCCAAUUAGCUUACAGACAUUUCAUAUAUCAAUGGGAAAAUGGAAUAAGGUUAGUAUAUGAAAAUAAGGUACAAAAGAUAUAUGUCCCAUACAGGUUUAAGUUAGAAAAAGAUUUCACUAUAAGUACCAAUUAUCCAGAAGUUUUUGAAAAAUAUUUGGAAGGAUAUUAUAUGAGCACAGGAGCAAAGCAUUUGGAUAUCGAAGCAGAUGAAGAAUAUAAUGAUGAUCAUUAUUGGGAAACAAUGGGACCAGAAGAAAUGAGCAGCAUCGAAAAUAUGAUGGAAGGAUAAUUUUUUCGGCCAUCUUGUCUAAAGCUAUAUUGUAUAAAUCGGUCAUAAAGUUGAUAAAGCUUUUAUUAGUUGUCGGCCACAUUGUAUAGUCUGGCCAAAUUGAUUUAAUGGUUUUAGAAUCUAUGAAUAGGUCGGUCAUAAAGUUGAUAUAAGCUUUUAUUAGUUGUCGGCCACAUUGUAUAGUUUGGCCAUAUUGAUUUGAUGUUUUUAGAAUCUAUCGUUACGGAUUUCAGUAGGUCUUAAGUCCGUAAAGUUAACAUGUCAUAUCCACGGACUUUGAGUCAAAAAUUUUUAAGUCCGCACAGUUUGCAUAAAAAGUCUAUAAAGGCAUACGUCCCAAACC